UACGAAGGGGGCUAGCGUUGCUCGGAAUCACUGGGCGUAAAGCGCACGUAGGCGGCUUUCUAAGUCAGGGGUGAAAUCCUGGAGCUCAACUCCAGAACUGCCUUUGAUACUGGAGAGCUUGAGUCCGGAAGAGGUGAGUGGAACUCCGAGUGUAGAAGUGAAAUUCGUAGAUAUUCGGAAGAACACCAGUGGCGAAGGCGACUCACUGGACACAUAUUGACGCUGAGGUGCGAAAGCGUGGGGAGCAAACAGG
rnacentral:rRNA from 1 species